rnacentral:tRNA from 1 species
GGGGCUGUAACUCAGUGGUAGAGUGUUCGCUUUGCAUUACCUAAUCCUCCGGGGUUAACAUGAUACUUAUAUGCGAAAAGCCCAGGGUUCGAUCCCCUGCCGCUCCA